rnacentral:rRNA from 1 species
GAUGAACGCUGGCGGCGUGCUUAACACAUGCAAGUCGAACGAUGAAGCCCAGCUUGCUGGGUGGAUUAGUGGCGAACGGGUGAGUAACACGUGAGCAACCUGCCCCUGACUCUGGGACAAGCGCUGGAAACGGCGUCUAAUACUGGAUAUGUCCCGUCACCGCAUGGUGUGCGGGUGGAAAGAUUUUUCGGUUGGGGAUGGGCUCGCGGCCUAUCAGCUUGUUGGUGAGGUAAUGGCUCACCAAGGCGUCGACGGGUAGCCGGCCUGAGAGGGUGACCGGCCACACUGGGACUGAGACACGGCCCAGACUCCUACGGGAGGCAGCAGUGGGGAAUAUUGCACAAUGGGCGGAAGCCUGAUGCAGCAACGCCGCGUGAGGGAUGACGGCCUUCGGGUUGUAAACCUCUUUUAGCAGGGAAGAAGCGAAAGUGACGGUACCUGCAGAAAAAGCACCGGCUAACUACGUG